AGAGUUUGAUCCUGGCUCAGGACGAACGCUGGCGGCGUGCCUAAUACAUGCAAGUCGAACGCUUCUUUUUCCACCGGAGCUUGCUCCACCGGAAAAAGAGGAGUGGCGAACGGGUGAGUAACACGUGGGUAACCUGCCCAUCAGAAGGGGAUAACACUUGGAAACAGGUGCUAAUACCGUAUAACAAUCGAAACCGCAUGGUUUUGAUUUGAAAGGCGCUUUCGGGUGUCGCUGAUGGAUGGACCCGCGGUGCAUUAGCUAGUUGGUGAGGUAACGGCUCACCAAGGCCACGAUGCAUAGCCGACCUGAGAGGGUGAUCGGCCACAUUGGGACUGAGACACGGCCCAAACUCCUACGGGAGGCAGCAGUAGGGAAUCUUCGGCAAUGGACGAAAGUCUGACCGAGCAACGCCGCGUGAGUGAAGAAGGUUUUCGGAUCGUAAAACUCUGUUGUUAGAGAAGAACAAGGAUGAGAGUAACUGUUCAUCCCUUGACGGUAUCUAACCAGAAAGCCACGGCUAACUACGUGCCAGCAGCCGCGGUAAUACGUAGGUGGCAAGCGUUGUCCGGAUUUAUUGGGCGUAAAGCGAGCGCAGGCGGUUUCUUAAGUCUGAUGUGAAAGCCCCCGGCUCAACCGGGGAGGGUCAUUGGAAACUGGGAGACUUGAGUGCAGAAGAGGAGAGUGGAAUUCCAUGUGUAGCGGUGAAAUGCGUAGAUAUAUGGAGGAACACCAGUGGCGAAGGCGGCUCUCUGGUCUGUAACUGACGCUGAGGCUCGAAAGCGUGGGGAGCAAACAGGAUUAGAUACCCUGGUAGUCCACGCCGUAAACGAUGAGUGCUAAGUGUUGGAGGGUUUCCGCCCUUCAGUGCUGCAGCAAACGCAUUAAGCACUCCGCCUGGGGAGUACGACCGCAAGGUUGAAACUCAAAGGAAUUGACGGGGGCCCGCACAAGCGGUGGAGCAUGUGGUUUAAUUCGAAGCAACGCGAAGAACCUUACCAGGUCUUGACAUCCUUUGACCACUCUAGAGAUAGAGCUUCCCCUUCGGGGGCAAAGUGACAGGUGGUGCAUGGUUGUCGUCAGCUCGUGUCGUGAGAUGUUGGGUUAAGUCCCGCAACGAGCGCAACCCUUAUUGUUAGUUGCCAUCAUUUAGUUGGGCACUCUAGCGAGACUGCCGGUGACAAACCGGAGGAAGGUGGGGAUGACGUCAAAUCAUCAUGCCCCUUAUGACCUGGGCUACACACGUGCUACAAUGGGAAGUACAACGAGU
rnacentral:rRNA from 1 species